UUUGGUCUAGCAGCAAACGCAUUUCAACUCCAGCUGACUCAGUCAGGAAGACUCCAGCUGGAGUUGAAACGCGUUUGCUGCUAGACCAACG